rnacentral:rRNA from 1 species
GACGAACGCUGGCGGCGUGCUUAACACAUGCAAGUCGAACGGAAAGGCCCUGCUUUUGUGGGGUGCUCGAGUGGCGAACGGGUGAGUAACACGUGAGUAACCUGCCCUUGACUUUGGGAUAACUUCAGGAAACUGGGGCUAAUACCGGAUAGGAGCUCCUGCUGCAUGGUGGGGGUUGGAAAGUUUCGGCGGUGGGGGAUGGACUCGCGGCUUAUCAGCUUGUUGGUGGGGUAGUGGCUUACCAAGGCUUUGACGGGUAGCCGGCCUGAGAGGGUGACCGGGCACCUUGGGCCUGAGAUACGGACCAGAAUCCUACGGGAGGCAGCAGUAGGGAAUAUUGCACGAUAGGCGGAAGCCUGAUGUAGCAACGCCGCGUGCGGGAUGACGGCCUUCGGGGUGUAAACCGCUUUCGCCUGUGACGAAGCGUGAGUGACGGUAAUGGGUAAAGAAGCACCGGCUAACUACGUG